CUACGGGGUGCUGCAGUGAGGAAUUUUGCGCAAUGGGGGAAACCCUGACGCAGCGACGCCGCGUGGACGAUGAAGGCCUUAGGGUUGUAAAGUCCUGUCAGCAGGAAAGAAAUGUGCAUAAGUUAAUACCUUAUGCAUUUGACGGUACCUGCAAAGGAAGCACCGGCUAACUCCGUGCCAGCAGCCGCGGUAAUACGGAGGGUGUAAGCGUUAAUCGGAAUUACUGGGCGUAAAGGGCGCGUAGGCGGCCCUGUUAGUCAGAUGUGAAAGCCCCCGGCUCAACCGGGGAAGUGCAUCUGAAACUGCAGGGCUUGAAUAUGGGAGAGGAAAGUGGAAUUCCCGGUGUAGAGGUGAAAUUCGUAGAUAUCGGGAGGAACACCAGUGGCGAAGGCGACUUUCUGGACCAAUAUUGACGCUGAGGCGCGAAAGCGUGGGGAGCAAACAGGAUUAGAUACCCUAGUAGUC
rnacentral:rRNA from 1 species